rnacentral:rRNA from 1 species
ACUCCUACGGGAGGCAGCAGUGGGGAAUUUUGGACAAUGGGCGAAAGCCUGAUCCAGCAAUGCCGCGUGUGUGAAGAAGGCCUUCGGGUUGUAAAGCACUUUUGUCCGGAAAGAAAUCCCUGGCCUCUAAUACAGUCGGGGGAUGACGGGUACCGGAAGAAUAAGCACCGGCUAACUACGUGCCAGCAGCCGCGGUAAUACGUAGGGUGCAAGCGUUAAUCGGAAUUACUGGGCGUAAAGCGUGCGCAGGCGGUUUGCUAAGACCGAUGUGAAAUCCCCGGGCUCAACCUGGGAACUGCAUU